AACGCGAAGAACCUUACCAAGGCUUGACAUCGCCGGAAAUCUCGUAGAGAUACGGGGUCCUUUUUGGGCCGGUGACAGGUGGUGCAUGGCUGUCGUCAGCUCGUGUCGUGAGAUGUUGGGUUAAGUCCCGCAACGAGCGCAACCCUCGUUCCAUGUUGCCAGCACGUAGUGGUGGGGACUCAUGGGAGACCGCCGGGGUCAACUCGGAGGAAGGUGGGGAUGACGUCAAGUCAUCAUGCCCCUUAUGUCUUGGGCUGCAAACAUGCUACAAUGGCCGGUACAGAGGGCUGCGAUACCGUGAGGUGGAGCGAAUCCCGUAAAGCCGGUCUCAGUUCGGAUCGAAGUCUGCAACUCUACUUCGUGAAGUCGGAGUCGCUAGUAAUCGCAGAUCAGCAACGCUGCGGUGAAUACGUUCCCGGGCCUUGUACACACCG
rnacentral:rRNA from 1 species